rnacentral:piRNA from 1 species
UUCAGGUCUGAGAAGUAGCCUAGACUAUUGAC